rnacentral:rRNA from 1 species
UACGUAGGGUGCAAGCGUUAAUCGGAAUUACUGGGCGUAAAGCGUGCGCAGGCGGUGAUGUAAGACCGAUGUGAAAUCCCCGGGCUUAACCUGGGAAUGGCAUUGGUGGCUGCACGGCUAGAGUGUGUCAGAGGGGGGUAGAAUUCCACGUGUAGCAGUGAAAUGCGUAGAGAUGUGGAGGAAUACCGAUGGCGAAGGCAGCCCCCUGGGAUAACACUGACGCUCAUGCACGAAAGCGUGGGGAGCAAACAGG